UGUGUGCGUGUGUGUGUGCGCUUGUGUGCGUGCCUGUGUGCGUGUUGCCCUUGAGUAUGGCAAUGGAAGUCCCUGAGCAUGGGGAGUGUGACCAGGUGAAAAGAGGAAGUUUCCUUUUUCACAGUUUGUUUAUAUACAUAACAAAUAUAUACAUACAUACAUAUAUAUUUGUUCUUUUAAAGGUUUUUCACAUCCAUACCUGUUUGCAUACCUCUUUUGCAAUUUGAACUGUCUGUUUAUUGUUUAAUCAUUCUGUUGUGGCUAGGAAUGUGAAAUUGGUGUCAUACGGUAACUAUUACUGAUGAAGUUAUGUCAUACAUAAAGUGCCCAGAAGACAAGGCCUUUAUCAUGUCUGCUGAAACAUUGUAGCAAAGAUGAUAGUUUGUCCUUGGGAUUUUUUGUUGUUGUUCCUUUUACAUAUUGAUAUCCUGACCUUCGGAUGUCAAUGCAAUGUCACUGUUUUGUGUAAAAAAAGUUCUUCUUUAAGGAACUUCUCAAGAAUGCCCUUUUCCCCUCAAAAAGACCCCCAAAUCUGCACGUAUACAUCAGAAGGCUAGCCUCACCUUUAGUAUACCAUACCCGUGUAUGUCACUAGAGAGACAAGAAGGAAGCGGCACAUGAGAGGACCACUGGAGGUUUAUAGGAUCACUGUUGAAAAACGACUUCAUUUUUCCUUAUUAUUUCCUGCAUUUCUUUGUUGCUUCUUUCUUCGUAUUUAUGUGUUUUCCUCUUAUAACGCCUGUGAUAUUUUAGUUUUAUGUGUCAUUGUUUAGAUACUUUUGUGUGUUUUUAUCAGUAGCCAUCCAUGUGUCUUAUGAGUCACCAUUUCAACAUGUUUUUGUGGGUUUUCCAUUUUUAUGUAUUCUAUGGAGAGUACAAUUCAUUGUUUUUUUUUAAAGGGAGUUUACUAUUACACCGUAAUGAUUGUCAGAGUCCACACUUUAGGCAAAAUAUAGUAGCUAUAUUUUAACUUAAUAUAUCUACUCUUAGAAUUAUCAGAAUAAAUUAUUUAUAAAAAGGGUAUAUAUUUCAAACUUGUUUCACCUACAAGCAGAAGGACCACUUCUCAGCAUUUGUACCCGUUCUAUUUUUUAUGAUACUGAGAGAGGAAAAGGAAGCUAUGAGGUUGUCACUGUCACUGACUGUUACCUAAAGACAUUCUGUUUUUAAUAUUUAUUCACACUUAUUUAAGCACAUGGAAAGGAAGGCGUUGUUAAUCACCCUGUGAAAGGGUCCAACUAAAGGAAAGGGUUCGGUGGCAUCACUGUAAUUAGCAGAGUGUUUAUCGGUCGAUAUCCAGUUUGUGACGACAUCUGUCCAUGCAUUUUGGUUGUAACCAUAUUCAGUUGACGGUGAAACUUUAACACCAUGUCAGACUACUAUCAGCACAGCAAAACAAACGGUGUCUGAUUUUCGUCACCAUAGCAACUCGUACCAUAAGCAUGCGUGCAUCAGACAAAUGAAGAUUACUCUUGGUUGUUCUUCUGUUCAGUCCGUUCUACUCUCUUUCCACUUUGGUGUUUUCUAGUGCAUUGUGAAACUGUUGAAAAAAAAUACAUAUAUCUAAUAAUAAAAAAAAUCUUUUUUGACAAUAUGUAUGUAUGUACUUGGACAUCAGGCUGUUUUAGCACUUGUACUGAAAAUGGAACUAACCUGAAAUGACCCCUUGUGCCGAUGGAUUUAUAUUUGCCAAAGUGACCAACUUCUCAGCAUGCAUUUCAAUUUGGCCUUUUGACUGGCAGACUUUUUCUGUCACGUCAGACCAGAUUGGAGUUUGUCCUUAUGUGCCAGUGGCAGCCGUAGACAGGGAACAGCUUGGCCUCCGAGCAGCCUGUGUUUAGCUGAAGAAGCUUAUGCAGUUCUUCCGCAGACAGUGAGACAAAGUACAAUAGCAGCAUUUGUGGUUGUGGAAGUGAGCACUGUUCAUGCCUCUUCUAAAAUAUAUAUCUCAAGUUUGUAUCUGUGACCAUCUGCUUUUUGCCCCCUAUCCAAUAAAACCUUUCAGUUAAAAUUGACAUUUUUUAUGCUGGAUUUCUUUCCUUAGACCUCUUGUUAGAAGCACAGUGGGAAAAGACUGAAACUUUCAACCUUAAUUAAUGUAAUGCUUUUAGUACAGUUGAGCGAGAUUCUUCUGAAUC
ensembl:lncRNA